GACGAACGCUGGCGGCGUGCUUAACACAUGCAAGUCGAACGAUGAACUUGGAGCUUGCUCUGGGGGAUUAGUGGCGAACGGGUGAGUAACACGUGAGUAACCUGCCCUGGACUCUGGGAUAACUUCGAGAAAUCGGAGCUAAUACCGGAUAGGACCUUGCACCGCAUGGUGUGGGGUGGAAAGUUUUUCGGUUUGGGAUGGACUCGCGGCCUAUCAGCUUGUUGGUGAGGUAAUGGCACACCAAGGCGUCGACGGGUAGCCGGCCUGCGAGGGUGACCGGCCACACUUGGACUGAGACACGGCCCAGACUCCUACGGGAGGCAGCAGUGGGGAAUAUUGCACAAUGGGCGCAAGCCUGAUGCAGCAACGCCGCGUGCGGGAUGACGGCCUUCGGGUUGUAAACCGCUUUUAGUAGGGAAGAAGCCUUCGGGUGACGGUACCUGCAGAAAAAGGACCGGCUAACUACGUGCCAGCCGCCGCGGUAACAC
rnacentral:rRNA from 1 species